AUGGCUGACGAGCAAUGGAGAGUGCCGAUGGUGGUGCAAGAGCUGGCGGCCAGCGUCAAGGAGCCUCCAAGUCAGUACGUCUUGGGGGAGCAAAACCGUCUGCUUGUGGUGGAUCAGAUGGCAGAGUCUGUCCCUAUCAUCGAUCUCAGCCGUCUGGCGGCCGCCGACGAGGCUGACAAGCUCCGGGCGGCUCUGCAGAGCUGGGGGCUCUUUCAGGUUACAAACCAUGGCAUAGAGUCCUCUCUGAUGGAUGAUGUGAUCACCGCAGCUAAAGCAUUUUUUCACCAGCCCCUGGAAGAAAAACAGAAAUGCAGCAACCUACUGGACGGUAAGCAUUUCCAGGUGGAAGGAUACGGCAAUGACCAAAUUAAAACCCAGCAUCAAACCCGGGACUGGUCCGAUCGACUGCAUCUCAAAGUGGGGCCAGAGGAUGAGAUAAAUCUUGCUAAUUGGCCCAAACAUCCCGAAUCAUUCAGGGAUGUUCUACAAGAGUACACAGCAAAAAGCAAGAGGAUAAAACACAUUAUCCUUGGGACAAUGGCCAGGCUUCUGGAGCUUGAGGAAGAUUACUUCCUUAACCAAUUUAGCGACAAGGCUCCCACAACUGUUAGGAUCAACCACUACGUGCCAUGUCCGACACCUGAUAUCGUCCUUGGCUUCAAGGCUCACUCGGACGACGGCGUUCUGGCGACUCUUCUCGUGGACAACGAUGUUCCUGCGCUGCAGGUUCUCAGAGACGGCGUGUGGUACGGCGUCCCGACCAACCCUCGUUCCUUGCUGGUCAACAUGGGAGACUUCAUGGAGGUAAUGAGCAAUGGGAUAUUCAAGAGCCCAGUCCACAGGGUUGUGGCAAAUGCUGAGACGGAGAGGACCUCCAUAGCCAUGUUCUACGGCCUAGAUCCUGAGAAGGUGAUCGAGCCAGCGGCUGAUCUGUUACAUCAGAAGCAACCGGCACGGUACAAGAAAGUGAAAACCAAAGAUUACAUGGCCGGAUUCUAUGAACACUUUGCUCGAGGAACUAGGGUUCUCGACUCUAUGAAGGUCUAA
rnacentral:rRNA from 1 species